rnacentral:rRNA from 1 species
GAUGGACGCUGGCGGCGUGCCCAAUACAUGCAAGUCGAGCGAACGGACGAGAAGCUUGCUUCUCUGAUGUUAGCGGCGGACGGGUGAGUAACACGUGGAUAACCUACCUAUAAGACUGGGAUAACUUCGGGAAACCGGAGCUAAUACCGGAUAAUAUUUUGAACCGCAUGGUUCAAAAGUGAAAGACGGUCUUGCUGUCACUUAUAGAUGGAUCCGCGCUGCAUUAGCUAGUUGGUAGGUAACGGCUUACCAAGGCAACGAUGCAUAGCCGACCUGAGAGGGUGAUCGGCCACACUGGAACUGAGACACGGUCCAGACUCCUACGGGAGGCAGCAGUAGGGAAUCUUCCGCAAUGGGCGAAAGCCUGACGGAGCAACGCCGCGUGAGUGAUGAAGGUCUUCGGAUCGUAAAACUCUGUUAUUAGGGAAGAACAUAUGUGUAAGUAACUGUGCACAUCCUGACGGUACCUAAUCAGAAAGCCACGGCUAACUACGUG